AUAAAAAAUGCUCUAGGCACAAUCCUUGGGAACAAAGUAGAUUUCAACAAAUAUUACCUGUUACUUCGUUCCUUUUCUUAUUUAAUACAGAGAUUCAGAUUUCUGCAGACAAGAAGGGCAUUGUUAGAAAGGGGACUACUCGGCAGCAGCCCUGUUUCCUUGGAAAGUAGCUCAUUCUUCUUUGUUCUUUGGCCAACAAUUGGGCCUGGGCCUGAAAAAAAGUUGUCUUUAAACACUGACUCUUGUGAAAUGCCUGUGGAGGUCUGCAAAGGCAGGGCCAGAACAAGAACUAAAUUUGAAGGGGGAUUUGAUCCAAGUGGGAGGCAGAUAAUGAGUGGAUUAACUCAGGUCAAGGGAAGAAAAAAGUGAAGGAGAAAAAUAGAUGAAGUAGUUGCAUAUUGGAAUAACAAGUAACUAGAGGUGACCUUUUUGAUGUAGAUGGCAGAGCCAGCUAACAGGGAGCUUUGCAGCAGGCAGGGAAUACUCCUGAAACUGCAAAUGUCCCAGGAGGGAGGUGAGAGAGGCUUCCAAUGCUGAGCACAGAGAGGUCUGCUCAGUCCUCCUGCAAACAGCUGAUGAGUGGCAAAACUUGCUUUCAGAAUUGAUAAAAGCACCCCUAAGGGAGCUGAUGGCUUACAGAAUUACUUCCAAGAGGAAACUCUUUCACUCAGAUGACUGCAAACUGGAUCAAACUGAACUCCACAAGCACGCUGCAUUUUGAAAAGUAAUUGUGCUCAGGAUCGUCCUGGCUGCUGUGUUGUAAACAGACUACCUGGGCUAAAGGGCAGAAGGAGAUCAGUUAUGGCAAUCCUGGCUACUGAUGAUGAAAACUUGGACCCAGGAGUUGCAAUGGAAGCAAUGAAAAGAGCAGAAGUUUCUGGAUUCAUUUUAAAUUUAGAACUGACCAGUAUUAACAGGUGCAGUCUUGUAAGGUGAUUGAGUUAUGAUGGCUCCACCUUCACAUGUGGGAUUAGCACCCUUUUAAGAGGGCUCCAAGUGGAAGGGAGCACUCUCUUGCUCUUCUGCUCUUCUGCCAUGUGAGACGGCAGUGCUCCUCCCCUCCAGAGGACGCAACAAUAAGAUGCCAUCUUGGAAGCUGAAAGCAGCCCUCACCAGAUGCCACUUCUGCUAGUGCCUUGAUCUUGAACUUUCCAGCCUCCAGAAUCAUGAGAAAUAAAUUUCUAUUGUUCAUAAAUUAUAUAGUCUGUGCUAUUUUGUUACAGCAGCACAAAUGGGCUAAGACAAUGAGUCUUUUUUUUU